GGAAAUUAGUUGAGAUCCUCAAGGAUAAGGACUUGCGAUUUAAAAACAAGUUAUCCAAAGCUAGCUUCUACUGCCGAUAUCCCAUCCACGUACUGGCGAGCAUCUCUCUUGCCGUCCGUGUAGUAACAAACCAAGCGUAUUUUCUUCUAUUUUCAUAUCCUCUGGGCUGCGGUUUGCUUGUAACUACGGCGCUUUGCCGAUCUUGAUCGGACUUGUUCUUCGGCCAACUUCGGAUCUGAACUUUUAAACCCAAAUGCUGGAAGGUUGGGGUACGAUCUGGCGGAACAAUCGUAUUUGAUUUCGGACGUAUACCUGUUCUCUGAUUAGGGAAAGUAUUGAAUGGUUGGCCGAGAAUAAUUGCUAAUAAAGGUAACACCAUAUUGACUUUCCCUUCUUCUUUUCUUAUUUAACUAGGCGUUUCUUUUACACAUAUACAUGCCAUCGUAUUCAUUUUGUGCCUUUUUACAUAUAGAUGGCGCAUGGUGAAGGGUCUGUUCCUUCCAUUGCACUAUCGAUUUGUCAGUUAACUGAGCGGCAUCUAUAUGAGCCUACUACUAGUGAAGGGGUCAACAUAGUGAUCAGACAGCAGGUGCUCACACAUGUGGAUUUGACGCGCCAUCCUCAUGGUUGGAAUGUGGGUUCUACUCUUAGUAAUUAUUCUUUUCAUCCACUAGCACCCUAUCCUAAGCCUGAUCAUGAAGCCUAUACCCUAGGGACCAGGAUGGUAGCAAAAGGUCUAGGUUGGGAUGGUCACCCAGUCGAGUAUGUUCCGCAACCCAAAGGCUAUGUUGAGUGGGGCGUCUCCGUCUUGAAUAACCAUUCGUUUUGUUUGAAAGGAGAAGAGGAGAACUCAGAUUACAUAUACGGGGCCAUUUAUUGCUCCCUCGGUGAAUAUGAAGUUUCAGAUUCGUUACUAAGGUCACUACUGGAAAGAUGGGAUCCAGAAACAAAUACCUUCCUUUUUUCAUCUGGUGAACGCACCGUGACCCUGCUUGACAUGCUUCUAAUGUCGGGUCUUCCCUUAGUUGGAGAUCCAUACAAGGAAUAUGUUCCUACUAUAGAUGACCUAGAACCUUCAAAGCUUCUGUUCCCAGAUUUUUUAUCUGGCCUUUUAGAAGAAUUCUAUCAGCUCAGCCGUGAAAAUGGCAGUGUGACUUUUCAAGUUUGGUGUGACAAUUUCUAUAACAAACGAGAGCGCACUUCAUUUUCACCUCCCUUCGAGAACAACACCUAUAUGUUGCAGCUUCUAUAGCCCACUGGCUUUGCUCUUACGUGGUUCUUGGCGGGGGGCCUUAUAUUCGGCCCGGUGUCCUUCUUAUGGCCUCUUGGAUCAUUUCCGGUCGCAAGAUCUCUUUGGCUCCUUCAGCACUUUGUUCAUUAUUUUAUUCUCUUAGAAGGAUCAGUAUGCUCCCUGUUGCUCCCUCUUAUGAGAAGAGAAUUCGGCCAGUGCAUUAUAUUGCAGGGUGGAUGGGUCUUUAUAUAAAAAAGGCAUAUAAGGACAAAGUGAAAGGGAAACAUCUUCCAGAUGUUAAGCAAUUGCCGAUGCAACCAACCAUGGUUAAAACUAUGUUUCGGGUUCCCACAAGAUUCAGUCCCGCUAAGGCACGCACUUUCCUUGAUGACCAAGCCAAUAAUUUUUUGGAAUCCUUAUACUCCAAACAACUUAGUCGGGGUGGAUCAGUUGCAAAGGUCCUUCACCAUUUCUUCCCAUCGGGGUAUGCUUCCAUGGAGGCGUGCUACUGAUGUUGAUGAUCUUUGCAUAGCCGAGCCAUAUCAUCCCGAUCGAGUUCCACGACAACUUACUUUGAGACAACAAGUGCCCUAUGCUCCGUUGGUCAGCGUGUACACAAAGGAGGAUACUGGAGUUGCAUAUGCGUAUUGGUCACAUUUGUUACGCUCAGACCAACGAGAGUUCCAGUACCUUCUUUAUGAUGCACAUGAGGCAUUUUCUUCUAUGGCCUGGAACAACUGGUGGGUGGGAUUUAUGAAACCAUUUAAAAACAUUUUCAAUACUCUUCAUCCGGGCAUUUCGAAUGGUCCGAAUUAUAAUCCGUAGAAACGUAAUUUUCUGAAACACGGAGUGGAGUACAUAGUUCCUCGCAAGCUUUCAGAAAAUGAUUUCGUUGUUAUAAAGAAAGUCUCCGCCAGGGGUAAGGAAGAGCAUAUUGCAGCCAUCAAAUUGAAUGAAAAGAGAAUUAUGGACCAUUGGCGUCCCAUUCUGUGUGGCUUUCUCUCGAAUGAUGAACCUUUAAUCAACUCUAAAAAGAAGAAGUGAAAGGUUAAGGAUGCUGUCGCAUGCUCUUCUUCUGUCCAAAAGACUUUGACUGAUGGGAAAGAAGAAGCUCACAUGACUGAAAAUAGCUCUUUGGAGGACGCAAGGCCUGCUAUCAGAAGAAAGAUUAACACCAUUGAUGUUGAGAAUGAUUUUGGUCCAAUAGAAUUGGAUGUGCCUCUCCACGUGGGUGACCUUAGCGGUGCAGUACUCGAUGGGGGUACUAAGUGGAGACAUAGAUCAUGGUCUAGCUACGUGACCAGAUAAUUUAAUCGUGGAUGAUUAUAGUGUAUCGGGCUCGACUUCUGAUCCUACCAUUAUUUCGCCACGUCCAGACUUAAACCUACCUCCAACAGCUGAUGCUUUAAACACUCUGUCCGCCUCUACACAUGGUAGCUUAUAUAGCUCUUAUUCAUGUGUUUGCUAUACUGUUAUUUUGUUUGCAAGAUAAUUUAUUUAUUUUGUAGAGGACGCUCCGUUUGUGGACGAGGAAACAUCCACUCAGUUGGCGAUGCCAUCCACGGACGUUUCUUCUAUCACUGAGCUUUUUGUAGAGACCAUCGAUAAGGCGUUGGCGAGGGCCAUCGAAGGCUUAAAUGAUUCCACUAUUGCAGAUCCUCAGCGCGAUGACAUUCUUCAAGCAGUCUAUUUGAUGCUGCCGACCGGGGAUACUGUUCCUCGAAUUGCCACUGUUCGCACUGACUUGCAAAAACUCAUUUCUUUUUCAAGUGAAAUGCAAGGAGCCCGCAAAGGAAUUGCUGAUCAUUCUCAGAAACAGGCUGAAGCUGUUAAUGCAGCGGAGACGGAAAGUGGAUUGUUGGGAGACACUUUGAAAGCUACGUCAAAGAAAAUGUCAGCCUUGAAGAAGCAGCGUGAAGAAGAGGAGAAUGUCGUGGAAGACCUUGGUGCGAAGCUGAAGGCAGCUACCUCCACGUUGUAGGCGACUGAUGAAGCCAUUACGCAGCUGGAGUCGGAACAAUCAGCCAAGCAAUCUGAAGCCAAGGAGCUGCGUGAAAAAUUGCUUGAGAUCAAUGUGAAAGGUGUUCAGGAAUUGAAGGUUCUUGAAGAGAAGGUAUCCUCGCUGGGCGAUGACAUUGCAAGCAUCAUCGCAACUUAAAGAAUUGGCAUUCUGUGCCAAACUGAAACCCCCUUUUCUGCUUUCCUUUAUUAUUUACCCAUUUUCCUUUUGCUUAUCUCAGCCAUGUCGUUUGUUCAUUCACGUAUGCUUGAGGACAAUGCAACACUUUUAUUUAGCUAGGCCCCUUGGUAUGGACUUUCUGUACUAGCGCAUGAGCUAGCUUAAGUGACCCUAUACAUUUCAUGUUGCAACCUUUAUUUAUUUACA